GACGCUGGCGGCGUGCCUAACACAUGCAAGUCGAACGGUAACAGGGACUUCGGUCCGCUGACGAGUGGCGCACGGGUGAGUAACGCGUGGAGUUACCUACCCAUCAGUGAGGAACAACCUGGAGAAAUCCAGGCUAAUACCGCAUACGACCUUCGGGUGAAAGAGGGGGAUCUUCGGACCUCUCGCUGAUGGAUGGUUCCGCGUCCGAUUAGUUAGUUGGUAAGGUAAUGGCUUACCAAGACGAUGAUCGGUAGCUGGUUUGAGAGGAUGAUCAGCCACACUGGAACUGAGACACGGUCCAGACUCCUACGGGAGGCAGCAGUGGGGAAUUUUGCACAAUGGGCGCAAGCCUGAUGCAGCGACGCCGCGUGCGGGAAGAAGGCCUUCGGGUUGUAAACCGCUUUCAACAGGGAAGAAGGGAAUGAGGGUCAAUACCCCUCUGCCUUGACGGUACCUGUAGAAGAAGCCCCGGCUAAUUUCGUGCCAGCAGCCGCGGUAAUACGAAAGGGGCAAGCGUUGUUCGGAUUUACUGGGCGUAAAGAGAUCGUAGGUGGCUUGUUAAGUCGGAUGUGAAAUCCCGGGGCUCAACCCCGGAACUGCAUUCGAUACUGGCAGGCUUGAGUUCGGGAGGGGGAAGCGGAAUUCCGUGUGUAGCAGUGAAAUGCGUAGAUAUACGGAGGAACACCUGAGGCGAAGGCGGCUUCCUGGACCGAUACUGACACUGAGGAUCGAAAGCGUGGGUAGCAAACAGGAUUAGAUACCCUGGUAGUCCACGCCCUAAACGAUGUCUACUAGCCGUUGCGGGUAUCGACCCCUGCAGUGGCGCAGCUAACGCGAUAAGUAGACCGCCUGGGGAGUAC
rnacentral:rRNA from 1 species